rnacentral:rRNA from 3 species
GGUUAAGCGACUAAGCGUACACGGUGGAUGCCCUGGCAGUCAGAGGCGAUGAAGGGCGUGCUAAUCUGCGAUAAGCGCCGGUAAGGUGAUAUGAACCGUUAUAACCGGCGAUACCCGAAUGGGGAAACCCAGUGUGAUUCGUCACACUAUCAUUAACUGAAUCCAUAGGUUAAUGAGGCGAACCGGGGGAACUGAAACAUCUAAGUACCCCGAGGAAAAGAAAUCAACCGAGAUUCCCCCAGUAGCGGCGAGCGAACGGGGAGGAGCCCAGAGCCUGAAUCAGCAUGUGUGUUAGUGGAAGCGUCUGGAAAGGCGCGCGAUACAGGGUGACAGCCCCGUACACAAAAGCGCAUGUGCUGUGAGCUCGAUGAGUAGGGCGGGACACGUGGUAUCCUGUCUGAAUAUGGGGGGACCAUCCUCCAAGGCUAAAUACUCCUGACUGACCGAUAGUGAACCAGUACCGUGAGGGAAAGGCGAAAAGAACCCCGGCGAGGGGAGUGAAAAAGAACCUGAAACCGUGUACGUACAAGCAGUGGGAGCACAGGUUUACCUGUGUGACUGCGUACCUUUUGUAUAAUGGGUCAGCGACUUAUAUUCUGUAGCAAGGUUAACCGAAUAGGGGAGCCGGAGGGAAACCGAGUCUUAAUUGGGCGUUAAGUUGCAGGGUAUAGACCCGAAACCCGGUGAUCUAGCCAUGGGCAGGUUGAAGGUUGGGUAACACUAACUGGAGGACCGAACCGACUAAUGUUGAAAAAUUAGCGGAUGACCUGUGGCUGGGGGUGAAAGGCCAAUCAAACCGGGAGAUAGCUGGUUCUCCCCGAAAGCUAUUUAGGUAGCGCCUCGUGAAUUCAUCUCCGGGGGUAGAGCACUGUUUCGGCUAGGGGGCCAUCCCGGCUUACCAACCCGAUGCAAACUGCGAAUACCGGAGAAUGUUAUCACGGGAGACACACGGCGGGUGCUAACGUCCGUCGUGAAGAGGGAAACAACCCAGACCGCCAGCUAAGGUCCCAAAGUCAUGGUUAAGUGGGAAACGAUGUGGGAAGGCCCAGACAGCCAGGAUGUUGGCUUAGAAGCAGCCAUCAUUUAAAGAAAGCGUAAUAGCUCACUGGUCGAGUCGGCCUGCGCGGAAGAUGUAACGGGGCUAAACCAUGCACCGAAGCUGCGGCAGCGACACUGUGUGUUGUUGGGUAGGGGAGCGUUCUGUAAGCCUGCGAAGGUGGCCUGUGAGGGUUGCUGGAGGUAUCAGAAGUGCGAAUGCUGACAUAAGUAACGAUAAAGCGGGUGAAAAGCCCGCUCGCCGGAAGACCAAGGGUUCCUGUCCAACGUUAAUCGGGGCAGGGUGAGUCGACCCCUAAGGCGAGGCCGAAAGGCGUAGUCGAUGGGAAACGGGUUAAUAUUCCCGUACUUGGUGUUACUGCGAAGGGGGGACGGAGAAGGCUAUGUUGGCCGGGCGACGGUUGUCCCGGUUUAAGCGUGUAGGUGUGUGUUCCAGGUAAAUCCGGUUCACUUUAACACUGAGGCGUGACGACGAGGCACUACGGUGCUGAAGCAACAAAUGCCCUGCUUCCAGGAAAAGCCUCUAAGCAUCAGGUAACAUCAAAUCGUACCCCAAACCGACACAGGUGGUCAGGUAGAGAAUACCAAGGCGCUUGAGAGAACUCGGGUGAAGGAACUAGGCAAAAUGGUGCCGUAACUUCGGGAGAAGGCACGCUGACACGUAGGUGAAGUGAUUUACUCAUGGAGCUGAAGUCAGUCGAAGAUACCAGCUGGCUGCAACUGUUUAUUAAAAACACAGCACUGUGCAAACACGAAAGUGGACGUAUACGGUGUGACGCCUGCCCGGUGCCGGAAGGUUAAUUGAUGGGGUCAGCGCAAGCGAAGCUCCUGAUCGAAGCCCCGGUAAACGGCGGCCGUAACUAUAACGGUCCUAAGGUAGCGAAAUUCCUUGUCGGGUAAGUUCCGACCUGCACGAAUGGCGUAAUGAUGGCCAGGCUGUCUCCACCCGAGACUCAGUGAAAUUGAACUCGCUGUGAAGAUGCAGUGUACCCGCGGCAAGACGGAAAGACCCCGUGAACCUUUACUAUAGCUUGACACUGAACAUUGAGCCUUGAUGUGUAGGAUAGGUGGGAGGCUUUGAAGUGUGGACGCCAGUCUGCAUGGAGCCGACCUUGAAAUACCACCCUUUAAUGUUUGAUGUUCUAACGUGGACCCGUUACCCGGGUUGCGGACAGUGUCUGGUGGGUAGUUUGACUGGGGCGGUCUCCUCCUAAAGAGUAACGGAGGAGCACGAAGGUUGGCUAAUCCUGGUCGGACAUCAGGAGGUUAGUGCAAUGGCAUAAGCCAGCUUGACUGCGAGCGUGACGGCGCGAGCAGGUGCGAAAGCAGGUCAUAGUGAUCCGGUGGUUCUGAAUGGAAGGGCCAUCGCUCAACGGAUAAAAGGUACUCCGGGGAUAACAGGCUGAUACCGCCCAAGAGUUCAUAUCGACGGCGGUGUUUGGCACCUCGAUGUCGGCUCAUCACAUCCUGGGGCUGAAGUAGGUCCCAAGGGUAUGGCUGUUCGCCAUUUAAAGUGGUACGCGAGCUGGGUUUAGAACGUCGUGAGACAGUUCGGUCCCUAUCUGCCGUGGGCGCUGGAGAACUGAGGGGGGCUGCUCCUAGUACGAGAGGACCGGAGUGGACGCAUCACUGGUGUUCGGGUUGUCAUGCCAAUGGCACUGCCCGGUAGCUAAAUGCGGAAGAGAUAAGUGCUGAAAGCAUCUAAGCACGAAACUUGCCCCGAGAUGAGUUCUCCCUGAGACUUAAAGUCUCCUGAAGGAACGUUGAAGACGACGACGUUGAUAGGCCGGGUGUGUAAGCGCAGCGAUGCGUUGAGCUAACCGGUACUAAUGAACCGUGAGGCUUAACCUU